AACGCGAAGAACCUUACCUGCGUUUGACAUCCCCAGAUAGCCGUAGAGAUACGGUUUUCCCUUCGGGGACUGGGAGACAGGUGCUGCAUGGCUGUCGUCAGCUCGUAUCGUGAGAUGUCGGGUUAAGUCCCUUAACGAGCGCAACCCUUGUCCCUAGUUGCCAUCAUUUAGUUGGGCACUCUAGGGAGACCGCCGGUGUUAAACCGGAGGAAGGUGGGGAUGACGUCAAGUCCUCAUGGCCCUUAUAUGCAGGGCAACACACGUGCUACAAUGGCCGGUACAAAGGGCUGCAAACCCGCGAGGGGGAGCAAAUCUCAGAAAGCCGGUCUCAGUUCGGAUUGAAGUCUGCAACUCGACUUCAUGAAGCUGGAAUCGCUAGUAAUCGCGGAUCAGAACGCCGCGGUGAAUACGUUCCCGGGCCUUGUACACACCGGAGUA
rnacentral:rRNA from 1 species